rnacentral:rRNA from 1 species
AAACGGCUGGGUGUUGCAUUUCCUGGUGCGGGGGCGCGAGGCAGCCGCGCCGCAUGCGCGCGACAAACCCUAGCGGCCUAGCCUCCCCAAGCCCCACAGGCCGCACUCCUCCUCCUCCCCCAUCCCACCCUCGUUAGCCGCCGCCACCAUUAUGCCUCCCUCCUCUCCGUCCUACAACCACGCCACCGGAGGAAGCCGUCGUUCGUGGCGCCAUAUCGCUGCCGGGGUGCCGCGUAAGAGGCUAGGGGACGCCGCCACCGCAAGCCGGCAGGAAGCCAACGGCGAGCACGCCGUCAAGAUGCCGCCAGGAGGACCUACCAUCCGGUCCAUGUCGUCAAGCGAGGGCCGCUUGUUGCGUCGUCGUGGGAGGAGGCGCACCAUCGAGGAGCAGCAGAGGAGGAGACGAGGACCAUCAAGGAGUAGCAGGGGAGGAGACGAGGACCAUCGAGGAGCAGCAGGGGACCGCCGAACUCCCUCUUCCCUUCCGGCUGCACCUUCUCCGUCCAUGGACAUUGUCAGAAUGGUCAAUUUAGUCUGGCGUAUUAUUUUCAGAUAUCAUGUUUGUCCAAGCCUCCAAGAUUCAAUUAGAUAGCAUCGUCUUCUCCCCGAGCAGCAAAAUGGAAGUUAGGAAUGUCAACUCUGCUGUGUGUCAGGCUCAGCGAUGCCAGCCUCUGCCCCCUCCCCAAACGAUACGGUCUGCUUCAGUUCACGCAGUGUCUAGGUGAAGAAUUUGUGGCCAGCAACGAAAAGAUGUCUCUUGAAAAUCUAGUAAAGGAAAAAAGAUACGCCAACACUGUUCUACAAUCUGUUGCAUCUCUGUUCUCCUCGUUAAGGAGAGGGGAGGCGGCCAAUGACAGGGAGAAGGAGCAGGCCGUCGAGGAGUGCAAGCAAAAGAAUAAAUAGCACGGAGAACAUAUCAGUGCUAUAUGUGUGUCUAAGGGCUCCAAGAGAUGCAGUCAUAGACAGUGACUGGUCCCUGAAGUUUGGGACGUUAAGGAUAAAAGCAAGCAGUUUUCAGAAACUUUUAGUUGUGGCUCAUGGGUUGGAGCAACUGGGAAAUCAUUGACAAAUGUGGUCUCAGUUGGAGUUGGUGGUAGCUUCCUUGGACCUCUGUUUGUGCAUGCAGCUCUCCAGAUUGACCCGAAACAGCAGAGUCCGCCAAAGGCUGGCAACUAAGAUUGUAAGCGUGUACUUGGGGUAUGUUUCUGUAUUUCUUUUGUUGACACCUGUUACAUGUUCUUCUCGCACUUCCUAUGGAUGAUCAAAAAUAUUAAAUGUGAUCGAGCAGAGGCUUCCUUUUUAUCUUUCUGCACCAUUCAUGCAACCCUAACCAGGAAUUCUUUCAUUAUUGGAGUCUUUCGUUGUAUAUAUAACUAUAUAUUGAUGCAAGGUGGGAGAAGAAGGAGGUGGCUGGCCUUUAUUGUGUUUUGGUGUGGUUCUCUCCUAUUUAAUGGUAGAUAUGAUGUAUAGGUUCAAGCAUGUGAUGUUUCUUUCAGUGCAUAUUUGUGCUUUACGAUGUUUGAUGCACAUAUAGUUGAACCUCUUACUCCAUGUAAUACUUUGCCAAAGAAGAAUUUAUUAAUGUUGGUGUUUUUUCUCUUUUCAGAUUUUAGCCUGGGUGCAUAAACAUACAUGCCGCACAUUAUAUUCAAAUUUCAGUGCAAGAUUAAACUGGGGAUAAAUCAUUAUGGAAGGGAAAGGAAUGAAUAACAAACUAUAUAGAUUUAUUAUCAUAUCAUUUAUUUUUGAUUGCAUGAUCUUAAUUGCUCAUCUCUGAAAAUAUUCUAGGCUCUUGCUCUUGGAAGAUUAGACUGAUGUGGUUUUGCUUUAUGAAUAAAUGGCGUGCUAACUUACUGGUUUGAUUUAGGUGUGUAGGCAGAGGAAACAAAAGAAUCAUAAUCCCAGGUUUAGGCAUGCACAUGGUCACUGAUCACAAAGUAGGUAGGAACAUGUGCAGUAUUGUGAUUUUCAGCAAGAGAAAGAGAAACAUAGUUAAUUGUACGUAUUUUAAGCUACACUAUGUGAUGUUGCUCUAUUAUAAAGGCCUUGCUUAAAUGCUUGGUUUGCAACAUGUAUUGCAUUUCCAGGGAUUAUCCUUUUGCUUAUUUAGUAUUUCCUAUGUUAUAUUUCGUCCUCAGUUGGGUCAUUGUAUGUGAUUAUUUACUCAUUUUGAGCCAUUUUGCAACCAAGCUUGACUUCUUUUAUUUUGCGAUCUGAGUUAUGCACACCAAAAUUAGCCCACGUAAGUUUGAACCAUAUUGAACAUGUUAGAUCACUCUCCUGUAUGUGAUGAUUUACUCUAUGGAGCCAUGUUGUGACCUAGCUUGAGUUCUUUUAUUUGCGAUCUGAGCUGCAAAAUAAAAAUAAAAAUAAAAAUAGUCCACGUAAUUCGAACCAUAUCUGAACAUUUUAGUAUCUGAAUACUGAAAUUACCAAACAUGAUCUUCACUUCGCCAUUUGUGACCCCACAGUGCUUUAACUAAGCUAGCUAUAGUAAUAUUAUGUUUUACAUGGCUAUGCAAGUUAAAGGUUCUAAUAUAGUGUACGUUUAUCAAUAUUUUGUGUUAUAUUGAGUAAUAUACUUCACAUAUAAGUUUUAAGCUAAUAGCUCCUAAUAAUUGUUUCUCCUCUUUGCAGUUGCCAUUUUAGUCAUAUUUUUUCUGAGAUAAAGAAUAAUAUUGAGAUGCAUUUCCUUUCUGAUGAUGAGAUUGGGUAUGCCUAUGUUUUGUAUUUUUCAGUAUUAUUUUAUUUCCGGCUCCGCUUAGCUGAGAGAGCUAAGAGAUAAUAUGGUAAACAAUUUCUAUCAAGUGGGUGAGCUCCAUUUUUCAAGGUAAGUCAGGUGACAGCCAAAAAAAUACCAAGGAGAUGAGUCUCUUAUCAGUUGUUUUGAUCUUAUCCAGGUUCUAUUUUCUUUCAGGCCAUGAGUUACGAUGUCCUGGUUAGAGCUACUACAUUCAAAGAGUAAAUCUGUUUCAUUGUAUCUGUACAUUAUAUGAAAAAGGUGCAUCUAUUAUGCCUCGUAGAAAUUUCAGCUGAGCAAUUGUGUAGACUUACGAAGCUAUCAUGACGGAUGUUAGUGAUUUCUGUAUUAGGGCCAUGUUACAUCUCUAGUGUUGAAUUAAUGGCUAGAAAUUCAGAGUUACAUAGCUGAAAACAGGGUUGCUCGAAGCAAACAAGCUGCUUAUUCAGUAUUUUUGACACUCAUGGAAAAUGUAUAUGCUCAUCCUAAAUUCCUAAUUAUUAUUAUAUCACAUAACUGAAAGUGCAUUAGACCAAUGGUGUUAUCAAAAAUAAAUAAUUUUUGCCCCAUAGCUGAACCGUGUCUUUUCUCUGUGUGUAUAUAUGUUAGAGAUGUGUAAGAUUUAGACAUUUUUAUUCAUUUGUUAACUUUACCAAUGUAUGGAUGACAUGCUUCAUUAUGUUAUAUCACAUGUGAAGGUGCAUUAUACCUGUGGUUUAUUAGAAUGCAUAAUUUCGGUCAAAUAAUUGAGUUGUUCUUUUCUUCGGUGUAUAUACAAGUUACAGAUGUGCAUGAUUAUGUUUAUUCUCUACAUUUGGUAAAUUCACCUAUGUAUGGCUGACAUACUUCUUUAGGUUAUGUUUCUAAAGCUCCAUGCUUAAUCGUCCAGAAUGUUUCCAAGUGACUGCUUUACACAUGGGAGACUGGAUGAAUGGAGGAGUUCAGAGAAGCUGGUGUUAUGUUACAUAUGGUCUUCAAGCUAAUGUUAUGUUUCUUGCAUGGUUUGUGUAUUUGUUGCAAAAACAUAGUACAAGAAAAAGAUCUAUGCUCAUGAAGAUGGCAGAAGGGAACUACAUGUGGAACAAGAACCACUAGCACUGACCAGUUGGGCAUCUGGAUAGUGGUAGUGAACAAAAAUUGCUUGCCCUAUAGAGUCAAUGUAAUCUACUACUAUCCCACUUGCUGAUUUUUAUAUUAUGAAACCAUAGUAUGUAUUUACACUCCUGCUGUGAGAUUGUACUAUGUAAAUUAUGGGAGGACAAUGUAGGCCUUUAUAUGCAAAUAACUCCUUGUUGAAAUGAGUAACUUGAGCCAUUUGGCACAACAGGUC